CAAUAACUAGUUUGCAGUUCUGGACCAGUGUACCCAAAACAAACUGGGAGUCACUCCAAGCAAGUAGCUAUCACAGUCUCUACAUCUCAGAAGUGACAGCCGGAGCUCCAAGCAUCUAUCUUGAGCUAAGAUGUGACCUUGUGGACAAAAUCCAUGUGCUGAGGAAGGUGGGGUUGAAAAAGAAGCCUGAACCCCUGAUUCCAGGCCUAUGUCCAAACUCUUUUUAGGUGAGAGAGAAAUAAAUGAUCAUAUGGAA